GUGCCAGCCGCCGCGGUAAUACGGAGGGUGCAAGCGUUGUCCGGAAUCACUGGGCGUAAAGGGUGCGCAGGCGGGGCAGCAAGUCGGAGGUGAAAGCCCGUGGCUCGACCACGGAAGUGCCUUCGAAACUGUUGCUCUUGAGUCCCGGGGAGGUUGCCGGAAUUCGUGGUGUAGCGGUGAAAUGCGUAGAGAUCACGAGGAACACCAGAGGCGGAAGCGGGCAACUGGACGGGUACUGACGCUCAGGCACGAAAGCGCGGGGAGCAAACAGGAUUAGAAACCCCAGUAGUCC
rnacentral:rRNA from 1 species